UGAUGCUUAUACAGAAAAUGAACUUUC
rnacentral:piRNA from 1 species